GAAAUACCUGGAGGCUGCGGGAGCGGGGCGCAGCAGGAUGAAGCCAUCCAGAGGACAGCUGCCACCCGGAUGGCGAGUGGAAGGGUGGCAUUGAAGCCACUUGUUCAGCAUCUCCUGUUUGAUCCCUGCCUUACAGCACACCAGGAGCAGGGUGAAAAUGCUGAUCCCAAGAAGGUUUCCCCUCCUCCCUCCAGCAGGUUUAUUAUCCUAAUUGACUUACGGCACUGGGUUCUAAAUGAGCCUGCUUGGAAAUGUGAUUGGCACCGGUGAUUUUCCACUUUAUGACAUACUUUAUAAUAAAUAAUCCCAAAAAAUCAUAAAUAGCAGUAGGAUUAGAUCACUGGUGCCCGUGGAGUAGCCUUAGUUUAAAGUAUGGUGUAGAAAAGAGGGUUUUUUUUGAUGAUACAUCCCUAAACCCCGUGUCUGUGUUAGUCUUUUGCCAUAAUUAAAUUAUUGCCUAUAAGAACUUUUGCUUGGUCAAAAAGAGAAAAAACACCAACCCCAAUUAUAAUUCCACGUCAGUGUUUUCCAUAAGCUCUUAGCCAAGUUGGCCAAUAACUAAGGCAGAAAGGAGGGGAAAAAAAAGGUAUGUAUUGUAUACUCACUUAAAACUUGGCUAGCAAUGACCUUUUGUUGUCUUAAUUUUUUUUUCCAUGCCCAACUUGGCUCCUUGAGGCAGCCUCAUUGCCAAGUCUCUACACUGUGUUAGUUUCCUAUGUGUUAUGUGUUUUAAAAGCUGCCCUCCAAGUGUUCUACAAAGGCUUUGCCUGGAUGGGGGCAGAGGAGCCUGGCUCUGAUAGCGUUACCAAGGUAGAUGCGGGUGUUAAAACCCAAUACAUGUUUCAGUUGCCUUUUUCUCCCCCCAUCCUGUUCCCCAUGCAGCCAACAUGGCAAGCUCCCCAAACGGGCUGUGCUAACAAACGCAGCCGAAGACAGCCAUGUGAUGUUAAUAUAAACCUCCUCUCUCUGUCAGCUUGGAGAGGCACCAGGAAAUGGCCCCAGGAAUGCUUUUUGCAGCGCCUGUCUCUGCUCGGUGCCACGCGGUGGCAUUUGUCAGGCGCACUCAGCCGCGGCUCUGCGGAGGGCGCAGACCCUCUUCCCCCCGUCUGGGUCACUGCCCUGUGUGCCGUGUUGUGUCUGAGCACAUCGGGGACCUUUUGAGUAGAAAGAAAGAGAAAAAAAGCAAUUCUGGGUUACAAAAACCAAGGCCAACGCCAUUUCUGGUCCUUCUGGUUCAUCCGUAAGGAUCCAGGCAUCGCAGAAGGGAUGCUUGGGUCAUGAUGAACUAAAGAACCACAGCUCUCUUCUCAUUUCAAGGGUAAUCUCUUUGAGUUCCUCAUUAAAAACACCACACUGGGGUAAAUGUAGAGAGCAGGGGCUCAGGGAUAUUCGUAUUUGGGAUCAUUUUGGUUUAGAAAGGAGGAAAAAUGAAAGUUUGAUGCAUUUUCUCUGUGGUCGUGCACUUUAAGUGUGUGUUUCACUGAAUUUGCCUCUUUUUUUAACUAUUUAGUUUUCUUAUACAUACUUAAUUUCAUUUUCUGGUUUUUAUGAAGUCCCUCAAUGUCUUUUUGUGGUGAGCUGCCAUGGUAUUACCAAUGCAUCUGAAAUACUGCAGACAGAAAGACAGCCACUUGAAAGCAAUAAUGAGGGGACUGCUGAACCUCUGAAAGUAUCUGGGUACGUUCGGCGUGAUGUUCACACUUCGCUGACCUUGCAGAAGGCUUGGAGGAGCUGCAGUUUCAGAGCUAGUUCUGCACAAUAAGAGGUUCCCCAGUGAGAGAACACUGACACUUAUACCAGGCACAACAUCAGCUGCAUGCUCUUAGUAUGGAGGCAUGCAGAGCAAACAAUGAAUCAAGGCUGUUUAUAAAGCCUUCACCACAUUAGGCAGUGGAGAAGAGCCCAACUUUCCAUGUAAAGGUCUGAGUGGACAAGAAUGACGUGAAACACAUGGAAAAUAUGGAAAAUGUGGAAUAAGUAAUAAAAUUAUAAAUAAAACAAAUACAAUAAAUUGGGAA